CUUGGUCAUUUAGAGGAAGUAAAAGUCGUAACAAGGUCUCCGUAGGUGAACCUGCGGAGGGAUCAUUAAACGAGCAAGGGCGGAAACGCCCGACCUCCCAACCCUUUGUGUGCGAAACCAAGUUGCCUCGGGGGCCCCGUCCGCGGGGCCCCCGGCAGGCCGACCCAAAACACUGCAUCUUUGCGUCAGAGUAACAUUCUUUGAAUAAAAUCAAAACUUUCAACAACGGAUCUCUUGGUUCUGGCAUCGAUGAAGAACGCAGCGAAAUGCGAUAAGUAAUGUGAAUUGCAGAAUUCAGUGAAUCAUCGAAUCUUUGAACGCACAUUGCGCCCUCUGGUAUUCCGGAGGGCAUGCCUGUUCGAGCGUCAUUACACCACCUCAAGCCUCGCUUGGUGUUGGGCGUCGCGGUCACACGCGCGCCCCAAUAGCACCGGCCGGUCACCCGAACUCCGAGCGUAGAAGCAAAACACUUUCGCUCACGAGCCGAGGGGAAUCGCGCCGUUAAAACCUCCAUCAAAGGUUGACCUCGGAUCAGGUAGGGAUACCCGCUGAACUUAAGCAUAUCAAUAAGCGGAGGA
rnacentral:rRNA from 1 species